CAGUCGCCGCGGUAAUACGGAGGGGGCUAGCGUUGUUCGGAAUUACUGGGCGUAAAGCGCACGUAGGCGGCUUGGUAAGUUAGAGGUGAAAGCCUGGAGCUCAACUCCAGAAUUGCCUUUAAGACUGCCGAGCUAGCAGGUGAGAGAGGUAAGUGGAAUUCCGAGUGUAGAGGUGAAAUUCGUAGAUAUUCGGAAGAACACCAGUGGCGAAGGCGGCUUACUGGCUCAUACUGGACGCUGAGGUGCGAAAGCGUGGGGAGCAAACAGGAUUAGAUACCCGUGUAGUCCCUGUCUCUUAUAC
rnacentral:rRNA from 1 species